rnacentral:rRNA from 1 species
CAUGGUCUAGCUAGUCUUAUCAAGCGAAUGAAUUUUAGUUUGACCCCCCGAAACUAAGCGAGCUACUUCGAAACAGCCAAGGGCCAACCCGUCUCUGUUGCAAAAGAGUGGGACGAUUUCCAAGUAGAGGCGACAAACCUACCGCGCCUAGAGAUAGCUGGUUACUCAAGAAAAGAAUAUUAGUUCUACCUUAAGUCUCUAGACUUAAGAGCUACUCGAAUAAGGCACAGCUUAUUCGAAACAGGAUACAACCUAAAAUAUAGGGUAAUACCAAGUGGGCCUAAGAGCAGCCAUCUUCAAAAAGCGUUAAAGCUUAAUAUCUUCAUUAACUUCUAACCCAUAAACACUAUUGAGUAAUUCUAUAAAAUAUGGAAUAUAUUAUGCUAGAACUAGUAAUAAGAACUUUCUCCAAAAUGUAGCCUUAAGCCACACUAGACCCCCUACCGGCAGUUAACGCAAAUGAGCCCAGUAUAUCACUACGAAAACUCUAUAUACCAUACGUCAACCUUACACCAGAGCAUUCAUGGAAAGAUUAAAAGAAAAAGAAGGAACUCGGCAAACUUCACCCGCCG